UCCAGACUCCUACGGGAGGCAGCAGCGGGGGAUAUUGCACAGUGGGGGAAACCCUGAUGCGGCGACGCCGCGUGUGGGAAGACGGUCCUCUGGAUUGUAAACCACUGUCCCCAGGGACGAAGAUGACGGUACCUGGGGAGGAAGCUCCGGCUAACUACGUGCCAGCAGCCGCGGUAAUACGUAGGGAGCGAGCGUUGUCCGGAAUUACUGGGUGUAAAGGGAGUGUAGGCGGGACUGCAAGUUGGGUGUCAAAUCUACCGGCUCAACCGGUAGCCGCACUCAAAACUGCAGUUCUUGAGUGAAGUAGAGGCAGGCGGAAUUCCUAGUGUAGCGGUGAAAUGCGUAGAUAUUAGGAGGAACACCAGUGGCGAAGGCGGCCUGCUGGGCUUAUACUGACGCUGAGGCGCGAAAGCGUGGGGAGCAAACAGGAUUAGAUACCCCCGUAAC
rnacentral:rRNA from 1 species